rnacentral:rRNA from 1 species
AGCUGGUUGGUGGGGUAACGGCCUACCAAGGCAACGACGGGUAGCUGGUCUGAGAGGACGAUCAGCCACAUUGGAACUGAGACACGGUCCAAACUCCUACGGGAGGCAGCAGUGAGGAAUAUUGGUCAAUGGACGAGAGUCUGAACCAGCCAAGUAGCGUGCAGGAUGACGGCCCUAUGGGUUGUAAACUGCUUUUAUAAGGGAAUAAAGUGAGUCUCGUGAGACUUUUUGCAUGUACCUUAUGAAUAAGGACCGGCUAAUUCCGUGCCAGCAGCCGCGGUAAUACGGAAGGUCCGGGCGUUAUCCGGAUUUAUUGGGUUUAAAGGGAGCGUAGGCCGGAGAUUAAGCGUGUUGUGAAAUGUAGAUGCUCAACAUCUGCACUGCAGCGCGAACUGGUUUCCUUGAGUACGCACAAAGUGGGCGGAAUUCGUGGUGUAGCGGUGAAAUGCUUAGAUAUCACGAGAACUCCGAUUGCGAAGGCAGCUCACUGGAGCCGCAACUGACGCUGAAGCUCGAAAGUGCGGGUAUCGAACAGGAUUAGAUACCCUGGUAGUCCGCACGGUAAACGAUGGAUGCCCGCUGUUGGUCUGAAUAGGUCAGCGGCCAAGCGAAAGCAUUAAGCAUCCCACCUGGGGAGUACGCCGGCAACGGUGAAACUCAAAGGAAUUGACGGGGGCCCGCACAAGCGGAGGAACAUGUGGUUUAAUUCGAUGAUGGGGGAGGAACCUCACCCGGGCUUGAAUUGCAGAGGAAGGAUUUGGAGACAAUGACGCCCUUCGGGGUCUCUGUGAAGGUGCUGCAUGGUUGUCGUCAGCUCGUGCCGUGAGGUGUCGGCUUAAGUGCCAUAACGAGCGCAACCCCUCUCCUUAGUUGCCAUCAGGUCAAGCUGGGCACUCUGGGGACACUGCCACCGUAAGGUGUGAGGAAGGUGGGGAUGACGUCAAAUCAGCACGGCCCUUACGUCCGGGGCUACACACGUGUUACAAUGGCAGGUACAGAGAGAUGGUGUUCUGCAGAGCGCAUCUAAUCCUUAAAGCCUGUCUCAGUUCGGACUGGGGUCUGCAACCCGACCCCACGAAGCUGGAUUCGCUAGUAAUCGCGCAUCAGCCAUGGCGUCGGUGAAUACGUCCCCGGGCCUUGUACACAUCCGCC